CUCAACACGGGGAAACUCACCAGGUCCAGACACAUUAAGGAUUGACAGAUUGAGAGCUCUUUCUUGAUUAUGUGGGUGGUGGUGCAUGGCCGUUCUUAGUUGGUGGAGUGAUUUGUCUGCUUAAUUGCGAUAACGAACGAGACCUUAACCUGCUAAAUAGCCAGGCUAGCUUUUGCUGGUCGCCGGCUUCUUAGAGGGACUAUCGGCUCAAGCCGAUGGAAGUUUGAGGCAAUAACAGGUCUGUGAUGCCCUUAGAUGUUCUGGGCCGCACGCGCGCUACACUGACAGAGCCAACGAGUAUAAACCUUAACCGAGAGGUUUGGGUAAUCUUGUUAAACUCUGUCGUGCUGGGGAUAGGGCAUUGCAAUUAUUGCCCUUCAACGAGGAAUAUCUAGUAAGCGCAAGUCAUCAGCUUGCGUUGAUUACGUCCCUGCCCUUUGUACACACCGCCCGUCGCUACUACCGAUUGAAUGGCUCAGUGAGGCCUUCGGACUGGCUCC
rnacentral:rRNA from 1 species